rnacentral:misc_RNA from 1 species
AAAAUUCGAGUCAAGUUUGAUAAUUAGAAUAUCAAUUUGUUGAAAAUAGUUGGUAAUACAUUUAAAUGGUUAGUAAAAAAAAAAUUGGGGGAAAAUUUGGAUUUAUAAUCAAACAAAACUCGGAAAAUUGAUGACUUUAUCCAAAGUUAUUUAGUACUACGCAGCCCCGAAGACUACGAUUGAGAUUGGACAACGAUAAACACCAACAAGGCGUGUCUGUUCCGUGGAAGUCGUGCGUGACACCGAUAGAGAACCAGGUGUCGUGUGUAAGCCACCCCAGUGUAAGCCCUGAAACGACACGGACAGGUAACAGAGAUGAAGACGGCAAUUCUACUGAUGGUUUUUGUUGUGGGUGUCUUUGCAACACCCCUGACUCGCCGAGAGUAUGAAAAGCUGGACGAUUUGGUCAGACAGCUUCUCGAGAGAGACGGCCGGGAUAGUCACAGUGGCACCUUGACAACCUCCAGGAAAUGUGUAGCUCAGACUACUACAAAGUCCACUGCUGCGAGACAUGCUCCCAGACAGAUUAAGGGGUUUUUUUCUCUGUGGAUCGUCUUUAGGACAGUCAAUGUUAUAGAGAUUUCUAAUCGAUAAUAAAGUAUUUUAACCAGGAGAUAUUUCUUAUUCUUUAUUUAUCAGCUCCUAUGCACAGAUAA